rnacentral:rRNA from 2 species
AUACCGCAUAACAACUUGGACCGCAUGGUCCGAGCUUGAAAGAUGGCUUCGGCUAUCACUUUUGGAUGGUCCCGCGGCGUAUUAGCUAGAUGGUGGGGUAACGGCUCACCAUGGCAAUGAUACGUAGCCGACCUGAGAGGGUAAUCGGCCACAUUGGGACUGAGACACGGCCCAAACUCCUACGGGAGGCAGCAGUAGGGAAUCUUCCACAAUGGACGAAAGUCUGAUGGAGCAACGCCGCGUGAGUGAAGAAGGGUUUCGGCUCGUAAAACUCUGUUGUUAAAGAAGAACAUAUCUGAGAGUAACUGUUCAGGUAUUGACGGUAUUUAACCAGAAAGCCACGGCUAACUACGUGCCAGCAGCCGCGGUAAUACGUAGGUGGCAAGCGUUGUCCGGAUUUAUUGGGCGUAAAGCGAGCGCAGGCGGUUUUUUAAGUCUGAUGUGAAAGCCUUCGGCUCAACCGAAGAAGUGCAUCGGAAACUGGGAAACUUGAGUGCAGAAGAG